GCUCACCAAGGCUACGACGGGUAACCGGUCUGAGAGGAUGAUCGGUCACAGUGGGACUGAGACACGGCCCGCACCCCUACGGGGGGCAGCAGUGGGGAAUAUUGGGCAAUGGCCGAAAGGCUGACCCAGCAACGCCGCGUGGUGGAUGAAGCCCUUCGGGGUGUAAACACCUUUUCUGGGGGAAGAUAAUGACGGUACCCCAGGAAUAAGGGACGGCUAACUACGUGCCAGCAGCCGCGGUAAUACGUAGGUCCCGAACGUUGCGCGAAAUUACUGGGCGUAAAGGGUCCGUAGGCGGUCUGGUAAGUGGAAGGUGAAAUCCUACGGCUCAACCGUAGAAUUGCCUUCCAAACUGCUGUACUUGAGGCAGGGAGAGGUCGGCGGAAUUCCCGGUGU
rnacentral:rRNA from 1 species